rnacentral:rRNA from 1 species
UACGUAGGGUGCAAGCGUUGUCCGGAUUUAUUGGGCGUAAAGAGCUCGUAGGCGGUCUGUCGCGUCGGUUGUGAAAACCCGGGGCUCAACCCCGGGCCUGCAUUCGAUACGGGCAGACUAGAGUUCGGUAGGGGAGUCUGGAAUUCCUGGUGUAGCGGUGAAAUGCGCAGAUAUCAGGAGGAACACCGGUGGCGAAGGCGGGACUCUGGGCCGAUACUGACGCUGAGGAGCGAAAGCGUGGGGAGCAAACAGG